ACUUUCAACAACGGAUCUCUUGGUUCUGCAUCGAUGAAGAACGCAGCAAAAUGCGAUAAGUAAUGUGAAUUGCAGAAUUCAGUGAAUCAUCGAAUCUUUGAACGCACAUUGCGCCGCCAGUAUUCUGGCGGCAUGCCUGUUCGAGCGUCAUUUCAACCCUCAAGCCCAGCUUGGUGUUGGGAGCUGCAGUCCUGCUGCACUCCCCAAAUACAUUGGCGGUCACGUCGAGCUUCCAUAGCGUAGUAAUUUACAUAUCGUUACUGUAAUCGUCGCGGCCACGCGUUAAACCCAACUUCUGAAUGUUGACCUCGAUCAGUAGGAAUACCCGCUGAACUUAAGCAUAUCAAUAAGCGGAGGAAAAGAAACAACAGGAUUGCCCUAGUAACGGCGAGUGAAGCGGCAACAGCUCAAAUUGAAAUCUGGCUUCGGGCCGAGUUGUAAUUUGUAGAGGAUGAUUUGAUGCGGUGCCUUCCGAGUUCCUGGAACGGGACGCCAUAGAGGGUGAGAGCCCGUCUGGUUGGAUGCAAAUCUCUGUAAAUCUCCUUCGACGAGUCGAGUAGUUUGGAAUGCUGCUCUAAAUGGGAGGUAUAUGUCUUCUAAAGCUAAAUACGGCCAGAGACCGAUAGCGCACAAGUAGAGUGAUCGAAAGAUGAAAAGCACUUGAAAAGAGAGUUAAAAAGUACGUGAAAUUGUUGAAAGGGAAGCGUUUAUGACCAGACUUGGCUUGGUUAAUCAUCUGGGUUCUCUCCAGUGCACUUUCCAGCCAGGCCAGCAUCAGUUUUCGCCGGGGAUAAAGACUUCGGGAAUGUGGCUCCCCUCGGGAGUGUUAUAGCCCGUUGUGUAAUACCCUGGUGGGACUGAGGUUCGCGCUUCUGCAAGGAUGCUGGCGUAAUGGUCAUCAACGACCCGUCUUGAAACACGGACCAAGGAGUCGUCUUCGUAUGCGAGUGUUCGGGUGUCAAACCCUACGCGUAAUGAAAGUGAACGCAGUGAGAGCUUCGGCGCAUCAUCGACCGAUCCUGAUGUUCUCGAUGGAUUUGAGUAAGAGCAUACGGGCCGGACCCGAAAGAAGGUGAACUAUGCCUGUGUAGGGUGAAGCCAGAGGAAACUCUGGUGGAGGCUCGCAGCGGUUCUGACGUGCAAAUCGAUCGUCAAACAUGGCAUGGGGCGAAAGACUAAUCGAACCUUCUAGUAGCUGGUUUCCGCCGAAGUUUCCCUCAGGAUAGCAGUGUUGAACUCAGUUUUAUGAGGUAAAGCGAAUGAUUAGGGACUCGGGGCGCUAUUUAGCCUUCAUCCAUUCUCAAACUUUAAAUAUGUAAGAAGCUCUUGUUGCUUAAUUGAACGUGAGCAUUCGAAUGUAUCAACACUAGUGGCCAUUUUUGGUAAGCAGAACUGGCGAUGCGGAUGAACCGAACGCGAGGUUAAGGUGCCAGAGUAGACGCUCAUCAGACACCACAAAAGUGUUAGUACAUCUUGACAGCAGGACGGUGGCCAUGGAAGUCGGAAUCCGCUAAGGACUGUGUAACAACUCACCUGCCGAAUGUACUAGCCCUGAAAAUGGAUGGCGCUCAAGCGUCUCACCCAUACCUCGCCUCAGGUAGAAACGAAGCCUGAGAGUAGGCGACGUGGAGGUCAGUGACGAAGCCUAGGCGUGAGCCCGGUUGAACGGCCUCUAGUGCAGAUCUUGGUGUAGUAGCAAAUACUUCAAUGAGAACUUGAAGACCGAAGUGGGAAAGUUCCAUGUGAACAGCGGUUGACAUGGUUAGUCGAUCCUAAGCUAUAGGAAGUUCCGUUUCAAAGGCGCACUUUGCGCCGUCUAGCGAAAGGGAGCCGGUCAAUAUUCCGGCACCUGAUGUGGGUUUGCGCGGCAACGCAACUGAACGUGGAGACGACGGCGGGGCCCAAGCAGAGUUCUCUUUCUUCUUAACAGUCUCUCACCUGAAAUCGUUGUCCGAGCUAGGUUUAAUGGCUGGAAGAGCCGCACUCUGCCGGUUUGUGCGCUCUCGACGUCCUUGAAAAUCCACGGAAGAAAUAAUUCUCACGCCAGUCGUACUCAUAACCGCAGCAGUCUCCAAGGUGAACAGCCUCUGGUUGAUAGAACAAUGUAGAUAAGGGAAGUCGGCAAAAUAGAUCCGUAACUUCGGAAAAGGAUUGGCUCUAAGGUUGGCACGUUGGCCUUGGCGGACGUCCUGGGAGCAGGCCGCACUAGUCGGGCAACCGACCGGAGGCGCCAGCAUCCGGUGCUGAUGCCCUUGGCAGCUUCGGCCGUCCGGCGUGCGGUUAACAACCAACUUAGAACUGGUACGGACAAGGGAAUCUGACUGUCUAAUUAAAACAUAGCAUUGCGAUGGCCAGAAAGUGUGUUGACGCAAUGUGAUUUCUGCCCAGUGCUCUGAAUGUCAAAGUGAAGUAAUUCAACCAAGCGCGGUAAACGGCGGAGUAACUAUGACUCUCUUAAGGUAGCCAAAUGCCUCGUCAUCUAAUUAGUGACGCGCAUGAAUGAUUAACGAGAUUCCACUGUCCUAUCUACUAUCUAGCGAAACCACAGCAAGGAACGGCUUGGCAGAAUCAGCGGGAAAGAAGACCUGUUGAGCUUGACUCUAGUUGACAUUGUGAAAAGACAUAGAGUGUAGAAUAGGUGGGAGCUUCGGCGCCGGUGAAAUACCACUACUCUAUGUUUUUUACUUAUUCAAUGAAGCGGGCUGGAUUUACGUCAACUUCUGGUUUAAGGUCUUCGCGGCCGACCGGUUGAAGACAUUGUCAGUGGGAGUUUGCUGGGCGCACAUCUGUUAAACAUAACGCAGUGUCCUAAGGGGCUCAUGGAGAACAGAAAUCCAGUAGAACAAAAGGUAAAGUCCCUUGAUUUGAUUUUCAGUGAAUACAAACAUGAAAGUGUGCUAUCGAUCUUUAGUCCUCGACAUUGAGCUAGAGUGCCAGAAAAGUUACACAGGAUAACUGCUUGUGCGCAAGCUUCAUAGCGACGUCGCUUUUGAUCUUCGAUGUCGGCUCUUCUAUCAUACGAAGCAGAAUUCGGUAAGCGUUGAUUGUUCACCACUAAUAGGGAACGUGAGCUGGGUUAGACCGUCGUGAGACAGGUUAGUUUACCCUACUGAUGACCUCACGCAAUGGUAAUUCAGCUUAGUACGAGAGAACCGCUGAUUCAGAUAAUUGGUUUUGCGGCUGUCCGACCGGGCAGUGCCGCGAAGCUACCAUCUGCUGAUAAUGCUGAACGCCUCUAAGUCAGAAUCCAUGCCAGAACGCGGUGAUACCACCCGCACGUAUAGAUGGACAAGAAUAGCCUCGCUUAGCGUCUUAGCAGCGAUUCCUCCACGCGCUCGAAGCGCGUCGUGUAUUUCGCGUAUUGUAAUUCAACACGAGCGGGUCAA
rnacentral:rRNA from 1 species